UCUCAGGGCUUUGGUCUCCUUCCCCCGGUGAACCUACUGUCACGGAGUCCCUGGGCGAUGCUCUGGAACUGCUCCCCAUGAAGCCAGUCAGGACUCUGGGGCAGUCGCCUUUCUGUGAGCAGCCUGUCUUCAGGACACACAGCUCACACAGCUUCCACCUUCCUGGGUCUGACCUCAGAGCAUUCAGCAUCCUCUGCCCCUCCAUGCGCUUCCCACCAGCGAGUCCGCUCAGGCGGGGCUCCUGGGGAAGCCAGAGGGUCCUGCACCCCAACUUCGCAGUCAGACGUGACUCUCAGCCAGCCAGUAAAACAGAAGGUUUAUUAGACGACAGGAACAUGGUCUAAAACAGAGCUUGCAGGUGCAGAGAACGGGACCCCUCAGCUGGGUCCAUUUUGGGGGGCAGUGAGCCAGACAACCACGUCUGCACUUCACUCCAUGUCCCAGCCAGCCCCAAACUGAAAACCCCCUCCAGCCCCUCCUCCUCUGGGCUUUGUUCCUUUCCCGGGCCAGGAGGUCACCUGAUUCCUUUGUUCUCCAACCCUUUAGCUCUCACCUUGCAGGGGGGGAAGGGCCCAGGCCAUCAGUUGCCAGGAAACAGGGUGUCGGCCAUUCUCUGUGUCCAGACCCCUGCACACACCUGCCCUCUCGGGCUCUGCAACGAUCAUACACCCUUACCCCACCACCUAGAUACUUAAGAACUGCCUAGGGGAAACUGAGGCACCCCCACACUAUUCAGAGGAAACAUUAAGAACAGUCCCACUUCGUCACAUCUCUCCCCCCUUUGAGAUCGAACUGACCGGGGUCAC